UUUACUUCCGUGGUCAUGUUUCCUCUUACGUCAUUGACAGCGAUCGAUAGCACUUCGGCUUUGACUGCCCGUCGCUGGAAGGAUACUUCGUCUUUGACAGCUGCUGGAAUCUGAAGAAAUCGAUUAUUUUUUUUUUUUUGUGUACAGGCGCGAAACAGGACAGUCGCGUGCAGGUUAAGGACCCCCGGCAACUUUGUGAUUUUAUUGGACGCAGCCCCGGAAGUAAAUGGGGGAGGGUAGGUUUUUGUAGAGGGAAUAAAUUUGGCGUGACAUGGCCAACAGAGGUGAAGGACUAUUGUAGUAAAGUCAGCUUGACAUCAUACUGGACGGACUCAACAACAACAACAACAACAACAACAACAACUAAAACCAAAGGGCCUCCACAGGGUGAACUCACCAGGCAGCAGCAUCAGCAUCAGUGUGGCAGCCAGUAGGGCGGUGACGCCGGUCCUCCUCGCUCCAGCCAUGACUCGUCUCUUCUCCUGCCGAGACAAAGUCAAAGUGCUUUUAACGAGCACAGAAGCGACAAGUCUCACUGCGGAACCGGCUGGGGGAUUGACUGAUUGGUCCACCUGUGCUCAAAGUGUGUGUGCGUGUGGCUCGACUCGACUCCCUGAGACAAACUGCCGUGACGGACUGAGCGGUGCCAGGUUUUAAACAAGGCCCAUCAUCACUGACACACAACAGGUAUUCAUUAACAGCCGUGCAGCAAACACACACAGGGAGGAGGGGGGUUCAAGACCAAGCUCAACGAGCGCUCUGAUUGGCUGAGGGCUUCUGCUGGAUCAUUUACCCUAAGGGCACAUUUGGGGAUUCAUGCAAUUAAUUUUUUAUGCUUCUUAACAUAUCAAUCAGCUUUUGACCAUAUUGGAAUUUGUUUUAUUUCCUUUUAUAAAAGGGUCCGUUUUGUGAAUGGAGGAUAAAAGUGUUUUGAAUAAACUCUCCUUAUUCCAAGAAUAAUCAUGCAGCACAAUGUUAUCAAUUAUUGGCCUUAUAAAUCUGCAAUAGCCUUGUCUCAUUUUUGGGAAAUAUUGCAUAAUUAUCCCCAUUGAACAAUAAUAACAGGAGCU